AUCCAAUCCGAAAUUGUCUAAUCCGAUCCGAGUUGUGAUAAAGAAUUCCAAUCCGAUCCGAUCCGAAGAAUCCUUUAACAAAAUAAAUUUUUCAUUCAAGUUGAAAUGUUUAUCCAAAUCAAAAUAAAAACAAGAAAUACAUGUCAAGAAGUUGACAAAUUGAUGCCCAAUUGAAGUAUCAAACGAAAAAUGCAGCGACAACCGCGAUAAUGCUUUGAUAAAUGCAUGGAUAAUUAAUUCUUGCAAUAAUGCGUGGAUAAUUAAUUCAUUUUAUUUCGAAUAUCGAAGUCCGAUCCGAUCCGAC